rnacentral:rRNA from 1 species
GAUGAACGCUGGCGGCGUGCCUAAUACAUGCAAGUCGAGCGAACAGACGAGGAGCUUGCUCCUCUGACGUUAGCGGCGGACGGGUGAGUAACACGUGGAUAACCUACCUAUAAGACUGGGAUAACUUCGGGAAACCGGAGCUAAUACCGGAUAAUAUAUUGAACCGCAUGGUUCAAUAGUGAAAGACGGUUUUGCUGUCACUUAUAGAUGGAUCCGCGCCGCAUUAGCUAGUUGGUAAGGUAACGGCUUACCAAGGCAACGAUGCGUAGCCGACCUGAGAGGGGGAUCGGCCACACUGGGACUGAGACACGGUCCAGACUCCUACGGGAGGCAGCAGUGGGGAAUCUUCCGCAAUGGGCGAAAGCCUGACGGAGCAACGCCGCGUGAGUGAUGAAGGUCUUCGGAUCGUAAAACCCUGUUAUUAGGGAAGAACAAAUGUGUAAGUAACUAUGCACGUCUUGACGGUACCUAAUCAGAAAGCCACGGCUAACUACGUG